rnacentral:rRNA from 1 species
GCGCAGCAGGCGCAAAUUUUUCUCAAUGGGGGCAACCCUGAAGGAGCGACGCCGCGUGGAGGAUGAAGGCUUUCGGGUUGUAAACUCCUGUCAUUUGGGAACAAGUUGGACGCAGUAACUACGCGUCCAUUGAUAGUACCAGAAGAGGAAGGGACGGCUAACUCUGUGCCAGCAGCCGCGGUAAUACAGAGGUCCCAAGCGUUGUUCGGAUUCAUUGGGCGUAAAGGGUGCGUAGGUGGCGCCGUAAGUGGGGUGUGAAAUUUCGGAGCUUAACUCCGAAACUGCAUUCCAUACUGCGGUGCUUGAGGACUGGAGAGGAGACUGGAAUUCAUGGUGUAGCAGUGAAAUGCGUAGAGAUCAUGAGGAAGACCAGUGGCGAAGGCGGGUCUCUGGACAGUUCCUGACACUGAGGCACGAAGGCCAGGGGA